AGCAGCAGCCGCGGUAAUACGAAGGGUGCAAGCGUUAAUCGGAAUUACUGGGCGUAAAGCGUGCGUAGGCGGUUUGUUAAGUCUGUUGUGAAAUCCCCGGGCUCAACCUGGGAAUGGCAAUGGAUACUGGCAAGCUAGAGUGUGUCAGAGGAUGGUGGAAUUCCCGGUGUAGCGGUGAAAUGCGUAGAGAUCGGGAGGAACAUCAGUGGCGAAGGCGGCCAUCUGGGACAACACUGACGCUGAGGCACGAAAGCGUGGGGAGCAAACAGGAUUAGAUACCCCAGUAGUCCCUGUCUCUUAUAC
rnacentral:rRNA from 1 species